AUUGAACGCUGGCGGCAGGCCUAACACAUGCAAGUCGAGCGAGGGGCGGACGGGUGAGUAAUGUAUGGGGACCUGCCCGAUGGAGGGGGAUAACUGCAGGAAACGCUAGCACAGACAGCAUACUAUCGAGUGAACACAUAUGGGAUUAGCUAGUUGGUGGGGUAAUGGCUCACCAAGGCGACGAUCCCUAGCUGGUCUGAGAGGAUGAUCAGCCACACUGGAACUGAGACACGGCCCAGACUCCUACGGGAGGCAGCAGUGGGGAAUAUUGCACAAUGGGCGCAAGCCUGAUGCAGCCAUGCCGCGUGUGUGAAGAAGGCCGUAGGGUUGUAAAGUACUUUCAGUCGGGAGGCGUUACCGACAGAAGAAGCACCGGCUAACUCCGUGCCAGCAGCCGCGGUAAUUC
rnacentral:rRNA from 1 species